rnacentral:sRNA from 1 species
AUGCGCCAUACGUGCACUCGGGUUCCUCCGCGCCGUUCACACCCACCUGACGAUCGCUCGCUACGUUCUGUUAGCC